rnacentral:rRNA from 1 species
UACGUAGGGGCCGAGCGUUGUCCGGAUUCAUUGGGCGUAAAGAGCUCGUAGGCGGUCGCGUAAGUCGGGUGUGAAAUCUCCGGGCUCAACCCGGAGGGGCCACCCGAUACUGCUCGACUUGAGUCCGGUAGGGGAGUGGGGAAUUCCUGGUGUAGCGGUGAAAUGCGCAGAUAUCAGGAGGAACACCGGUGGCGAAGGCGCCACUCUGGGCCGGUACUGACGAUGAGGAGCGAAAGCGUGGGGAGCAAACAGG